rnacentral:rRNA from 1 species
UACGGAGGAUGCGAGCGUUAUCCGGAUUUAUUGGGUUUAAAGGGUGCGUAGGCGGAUUUGUAAGUCAGCGGUAAAAAUGCGGUGCUCAACGCCGUAUCGCCGUUGAAACUGGCUGGCUUGAGUUGGGGAAAGGCAGGCGGAAUGCGCGGUGUAGCGGUGAAAUGCAUAGAUAUCGCGCAGAACCCCGAUUGCGAAGGCAGCAUACCGGCGCGCAACUGACGCUCAUGCACGAAAGCGUGGGUAUCGAACAGG